GGACUACACGGGUAUCUAAUCCUGUUUGCUCCCCUAGCUUUCGUCAUUCAGCGUCAGUUAUGGUCCAGCGCGCCGCUUUCGCCACGGGUGUUCCUGCAGAUAUCUACGCAUUUCACCGCUACACCUGCAAUUCCACGCGCCUCUCCCAUACUCCAGCACAGCAGUUUUGGAAGCAGCCUAUGGGUUGAGCCCAGAGAUUUCACUCCCAACUUACCACACCGCCUACUGACCCUUUACACCCAGUAAUUCCGAACAACGCUGGCCCCCUACGUCUUACCGCGGCUGCUGGCAC
rnacentral:rRNA from 1 species